UACAGAGGUCUCGAGCGUUAGGCGGAAUCACUGGGCUUAAAGCGUGUGUAGGUGGAUGCCUAAGUACCUUGUGAAAUCCCACAGCUUAACUGUGGAACUGCUUGGUAUACUGGGUGUCUUGAGUCACUCAGGGGCGAGCGGAACAAAUGGUGGAGCGGUGAAAUGCGUAGAUAUCAUUUGGAACGCCAAUGGUGAAAACAGGCAGCUGGGGAAGUGCUGACGCUGAGACACGAAAGCCAGGGGAGCGAACGGG
rnacentral:rRNA from 1 species